AGUAUUGACUGCCGAAGACAGCAGGUGCCGUAAGGCGUAACGGUGAUUCCACCUGCCGAGGAAGACACAAUUUCUGAUUAUGAUGAAUUUGUAGAGCCUCUCUGUCUUGGGACAGAGAGGCUUUUUUCCU
rnacentral:sRNA from 1 species